rnacentral:misc_RNA from 1 species
AAAUGCGAUAAGUAAUGUGAAUUGCAGAAUUCAGUGAAUCAUCGAAUCUUUGAACGCACAUUGCGCCCGCCAGUAUUCUGGCGGGCAUGCCUGUUCGAGCGUCAUUUCAACCAUCAAGCCCCCGGCUUGUGUUGGGGACCUGCGGCUGCCCGCAGGCCCUGAAAAACAGUGGCGGGCUCGCUGUCACACCGAGCGUAGUAGCAUACAUUCUCGCUCAGUGCGUGCUGCGGGUUCCGGCCGUUAAACGACCUUCAUAACCCAAGGUUGACCUCGGAUCAGGUAGGAAGACCCGCUGAACUUAAGC